CCUUGCAUGUUGACACAGCAAUAAUUUUUAAUGAGAAAUUUUUAGUAUUUGUGUGGGAGAAGUUAGCAUUGUGUACACAGAUGCCUCUCCGGCCACCGCGCUGCGGCUGGGCUCGGUGUGUCCCCCUCCGGCAUGGCCUGCAGGUCCCCAGGCAGAUUCCAUUCAGGCAAAGGGAAACAUUUAGGCUUGCUCACCUUUGAACUGCAUGCGAUGGUGUUUACCUUGGCAAGACAAAGUGGCAGUUUUACAGAUAUUAAAAACAGUCCUGAGGGGAAUCUGGAGGCCUUCCUAUAUUUUAAUCACCCGAUUUAGCCAGCCUGAGGAGUCUACUGGAGGCAAAACCUGUGGCAAAGUGACUCUCUCACAUUUAAGAACAGGAGAUAUAGCAGAAAACAACGUGCUAAAGCAAGAAGGGAGAGAAAGAAUGUGUGCUUUAUUUUUGAUACUCUCCUCUCUGGUGGGAAUUUGCAUAUUAAUCUGUAGCACCUCUGCACUCCAUAUGCUUUCUCUCCCCUUGCUUCCUGUGGGGCUGGGCUCUACCUCAGCUGACCCCAACUCCCUGCAGCUGCCCUCAUCCUGGGGUUGGGCUCCUACCUGACCGGUGUGCGUUAGGCUUGGGUGAGGUGUUGGGCUUCACCUUCCUGCCUCUACUCAAUCCGGAUGGGGUCCCUCUUGAAUUUCCAUCAGACUCAAAGUUUCCCAUGCUGAAGGACAGAAGGUGAAUACACUGAUAUUUUCUGCCGGAGGAGAGCCUGCACUGCAGCAGAUCCACAGCUCCACAAUGCACAUGGCCAGAGUUAUUCUGAGAGGUAGAGCAAUAACUCUAAUGCAAGACAGGAGACAUAACAAGUAAGUGGAAAUUUUCACAUAAAAGAAAAUAUCUGAGACUACAACAGAUAUUAAUGAACUGAGAAAACAGACAGAUGUACGUUAGGGAUUUGACUGAUACCUGGGAGCGUACUUUAUCUUAUUUUGUUCGUAUUUUUACAUCUGGCACUUUCACCAUAUUAAUGAUUUAAGGAAUAAUUAUUGUAAGGUUGAGUUUCCUUUUAAAAACUUUC
ensembl:lncRNA